GUCCAUGACUUAUCAAAAGAGAGGUGGAGGUGAGCGACGCCAAGUUGCUAAGAUCAGCCUAUAGUUGAUCCAGUGUGCUGGACUUCAACAUGCUUUCUGCUGCUCCUUAUCAAUAAGAUGGUUCACCAAAAUGAACAGGCGAUUACAAAACAAACUGCAAACACUGAAAGCAUGAGAACAUUUGAGAUGAUCGAAUGUCUACAUUCAACAGUCUAAUGAAAGAUUUGUGGGACUAACUGAUGAAAUGCAGUCCAACUAGUAAUGACAAAAACAUGUUUUUCUCAUCAAGGAGCUCUCCCCGAUCUGGCCUCCAGGAUCACUCUGGCUAGUCUGGGUCCCAACUGACUGCCCAGGAUGAAAAUAAUGCAUGAGGCUGCUCCAAAAAGGGCCCCAACCCCACUGUCUCAUCUGCUCAGUCUUUUGUAAACAAACCAAAAAGAAGCACUUGGGCAUAUAGAGCUGUAGACUUAUUUCCUUGUUGUGCUAAAACUCAUUUUGAAAGAAAAAACAGCAAUGAAGUACAAAUUAAUAAAUGGUAAGGAUAUUUUUUCACAAGUGUGUAAUGAUGCACACAAUGCCUAGGGACAUACCAGGAUCUCACAAUAUUAAAACGGGAUAAUUUUCUCAUCCAGAGGAAGUGUCUCACACAGCAUGUUUCAUUUGUUGUCAGCGUUACUUCGUCAUGGCUAAAUUAGCAUUUUAAGAACCCCCAUGGGUAUACAGUAGACAAUAAAUAAAUGGUGAGUCAAAAGAAAGAGAAGAACAGUUUGUAAGCACUGAACAGAACAUUUGAAGACUGAGUAAAAAGUGUAAGUGAAAAGGUUUUUCUUUGUUUUUGAACGAAUUUAAAUUGGAUCAGCUGCACACCGGUAUCUAAAGCAUUUACGCAGAUCGAACCAAAACUGAAAACUCUAUAAGAGACAAAGAGUUGUGUUAAAAUAGUUUGUGAUCUACAAAACGAUUACUCUAACAAAAUAAUCCUAACAAUCCAUAAACUCUUUUUUUCUCCUGUAGAUAAUGUAAACAUCUGAUUCACAGCUUCAGCAUUUGGCCGUUUUCUGUUAUUAAAAUGACUUGCACUCCAUAAAAUUAUUAAAUAUUGAACUCGUAGUCUAUUUUAGUGUAAAAUAAUCCGAUCAAGCCUGAAUAAUUCCAUACUGAUCUAAGAUUUAUUAACAUUUAGUAAGUACAUUUUGGAGUCAGUCUUUUGAGUGGGUGACAUCAACAUUAUUGUUUAUCUCAAUAACUUCUGGGACCAUUUAUCGGCCAGCAAAUUCUUUAUCGUGACAGGACUAUUGAACACAGAGUAGAGUUUAGCUAAAAAAUACCUUUGAUUUGUGAAACAUUUUAAAAACAUGUUCAAGUUUGAUCUUAUAUCCAGAACAGAACAGCAUAGAAAGUCAGAGUCCUGUAAGCUGAAUGUAUUUCAUUUCUAAUGAUAAAAGACCAUUAUAAUAUUAUAGCGCAUGAAAGGUAGCAAAUAACCAAGCUCCAUAAGUUAGUAGCAAUGAACAUAGAAACCUUUAACUUGAUGAAAAUAUUUAAAAUUAUGAUCAAAAUAAAAUCUUAUAUAAUUAUAAGUACAUCCAGAGUCAUCUAUAAUAUAACUUGUAACAUAAUCACAAUGUGACUAAGCCAAAUAAGUCACUGACUAGGUUGAUGUUGCACUACUUCAAGCAUAAACACAAAACUGGAAUUUCCUCUUCCAACUCAUUAUGUGGGUAUAAUUAAACCAAGAUGACCUAAAACAGGCAGAGCCCUUUUCAAAUUUUUCCACAUUCUGCUAAUAAAUAAUCCCUAGUAUUCCUCCAAAGUAUAAUUUCCUUGCUUAUUUUCCACAGUACACCAAAAAUUCCUAGCUGCUGGGAAUUAGUCAUUUACAAAACAAAGAGUGUAAAUGUUAACUCUGACAUUUUCAAAUCAUACCUCUUUUAAAACAGAAAGCUUUUUUUUAAGGACCCAGUACUUGCUCUUUAAAUAGUAAAGAAAGUAAAAUUUGUUGAUCACUAAAAAGGGCGCCGAUGAGUAGGAUUUAGUUCAAUUUAAAAACAAGGGUUUCCUCAGGAAAUGACAGACGCAGUAUUUGUAACUUUGCUCCUGCAGCCCACACCCCUUUCAGGAAGUUUGAAGAGUGACACAGCCAACAACAUGAGGACAAACGGCCCUGUUAUUAGCUUUAGAACACAUACAUUUAUACCACUCAGGUUGAAAGGCUUGUCAACCAAAAUCAAUGAUUCAUUUACUACGGAUGUGCCAGUCUGAAAGGUUUGAUCAAUCUAGAAGGAACGACAGUUUCCAAAUUUCUGGGCUCAUCGGGGAUAUGUGACUAUAUAAAAAAAUAACAGGCAUAUGUUAAUUCACUAAUAACCCUUUGUUGAAAAAUCUGUUUUUUCCUUAUUUAAAAGAUAUUAACCAUGAGCCAGUAUGAGAUUCUUACUGAAUGAUAAAAAUGUGAUACACAAUCUAAUUGCUUUUAUUUGAACGAGUGUAAGAUUGUUUUAAGAUCUACUUUUAAACAAUACAACAUAUUGAUUAGAGUUAUAAAGCCUGCAUCAUUAUAAUUCUAGAAAUUAUUUUCUCAAAAAUAAAUCAUCUGAACCAGUUAUGCACUUUUAAGUGAUAGUCACUUCAAAACUGUUAUACUAGAGUUUCAUUAACCCAGUCACACUCAAAAUGCUCACAAAUUCAUACACCAGUACAAAGAUGGACAACUUAAAGGUUGUCGUAGUAGUUUUCUAUUUCAUAUUAUGCCGAAACAUACCUUCUGCCAUUUUGGUCUUUCUACAAAACUAGGAGUGUAACAAACUAAUAUCAGGUCUGACUUAUCAACACUGUCCACUUGCCUGUGUGCCAAAAUUGUCGUCUACUGUCCAUUCAAAGGGUAGAUUCCACCAGAAAGCAGGUAAAGAAGCCGAUGGUUCAGAUUAUGAGCAGAAAGAAAAUAAAGAGGAACUGCCACUUGUUUUUAGGAAAUAGAGCACUCAUGAGAUCUGAUGCUUUCCUAAUUCUGACAAUUCAUCUCUAAUGAACCACAAGGACAGAAAGCGAGAAAACACUUCAGUUUAGUGAAGAACAUGUGAAGGAAGGGCAUUGCUGGGUUUUCUCUGUAUACAGCAAACAAACAAAACUUCACUCACUCCCACACUUUUUCUGCCGACAUUAAAAGGUCUGUGGGAACAGUUAAUGGCUACUGGUUUGGAUCAAAGUCAUUUGAAUUGCAUCAGUGACUCAUCACACUUACUUCAAUGAACUAUGGUUAUUAUUAUAAUUGCAUUAUAUUUUGCCUGUAGAUUUAAAAACAAAAACUGAGCAAAUGGGUAGUUAGUUUGCUUAAAUACACAACUAAACAUGUCUGGCUCAAAAAUAAGUGACUUUGGCUUCACUGCUUAAAUUGCAGUAUAGGUCAGGAUCUGAUAUAUACUGGUGUCGUUAUUAAAUUUGAAGUAUUUUAGUAUUAAAGUUGCUGCAUAACAGUUUGAGUUACAAGGUGCUUGUGUUUUCAGUGUCCCCCCCCCCAGACAGGUGUUUAGUUCCGCGGUGUCAGCGAGCUACAACUCAUGUAAUCUAUUUAAAAACGCAAAUUAACACAGGUCAGCUGAUCUUAACACCGUGUACUUUGCCACCUUCGCACUUAUAAAUAGACAUCAGAAAAUUAUAAUAGAURUCAUAAUAUUAGAAAUCACAGCGUCGACAAAAACAACAAAAAAACGCGACACAUUACGCACGCUGGAAUAAAACAGGCGGAAAUACAAAGAGAAAACGAAAACACAAAUUAGCAUCCGCUUUGACCCACAUUGCUUCACGGUUUUACACAUUAACUUAAUGAAAACGUGAAUGAAAAACAGAGGAACACUGGACAGAUGGAAAUGAAUGGAGUCGUGGCUCUGCUAARCUCAGCUAGCUCCAUAGUUAUCGCCCGGUUGGAGCUUACGUUACMGUUAAUGUCAAACGGCCAGGCGUUAGCUAAUGACAGCAACUCACUCGGUAGAUGGUGUCGAUGAACACUCGCAGAAAAUCAGUAUGGGCAAGUUAAACCUCAAGAAAUCCAGAAAUCAGUUCUAUCCAGGAAAAGGCUGAUCGGUGCAUCGGAAAUUCUGCAAAUUUUCUUCAAGCUGGUUGUACACGCUGACGGUGAACUCGCCGGCCUCCUUGCCGUACUUGUUCUUCACCACAAGGGCGUAUUUGCCAGAGUCGGCAGUGGUG